AAGAACUUUCAGCUGGUGGUUUGGUGACCAAAAGGAUCUCGAAACAAACCAACCAUUUAGUGCGUUUGAGACCAAGUUUUGAAAAUAAUUUAUAUCUUUCAAAAAAACUAUGACGCAUUUUGAAGUUUUGUGAGUGCAAGUGCCUAUUGCUUUAUAUUUUGCUAGGUUCGCACGCAGUUAUGACUUUGUAAUUAACUAAAAAUACAAAAAAUUAUUGAUAUGGAUUGUAUGUCGUACCGCAACCGAUGAUAGUAUGUGUAGUAAAUAGUGAUGAGAAUAAAAUAAUAUCUUAUAUUCUAUUCAUUAAGAGAUGGUAAGCACAUUGAUUGCUUGCAUUGCGCGCAAAUUGUAGCAAUUCGUUUAAGAGAAACAGUACCACAAAACCAACGAGUAGGUGUCCUAGGAUCAGAAAAAUAUAACAAAAUAUAUAAUAACGCUUCCGAAGAACGUGUGGGACUAGAAAACUUUGUAUUAAACUUAAAUAAAGUGGCUCAUUUAAACGAAGUAACUGAAGAUAGGAAUACUCUUUAUAUUAUUAAUCAAUAUGCUGACUUAGAUCCAAAAGAGGUAAGUCAGCAUUAUGCAAUCAACGUCAAACCAUAUUUUAAAGUAUCAAAUAAAAAUGAUGCUGAGUAUCUUGGACGAGCUAAAAACAAAGAAAUUAAGAAAGCUGAAUUGUAUGAUUUAGAUCAAGCGGAAGAACUAUACAAGGAUUAUAUGAAAAAGUACAACAAGAAAAACGCAACAAAAAAGUUCGAUCGUCAACUUAAAUAUUAUAGGUUUAUUAAAACGCUUGUCGAAAUAAAUAAUAAUUAUUUAAAAGGUAGUAGCGAUGUUGCACUUGAUGACAAAGCCGACGUUUUAAAAGAACCCAACGAAUAUUUCUGGCCGAAUUAUUAAUAUUUAUUGUUUAAUUUAAUGAGGUACUUGUGUGUGCUUAUCGGUACAUUGGCGCUCAUUUACAAAUUGGUACAUCAUAGUUUUGUCAAUGCCGGAUUUGGAAGUCUAAAGGCCUCACAGCAACAAAGGAGUGUAGGGCCCUCAAAUAAAAUACAUAUAAACAUAAA